rnacentral:rRNA from 1 species
CACUGGACUGAGACACGGUCCAGACUCCUACGGGAGGCAGCAGUGGGGAAUAUUGCACAAUGGGCGCAAGCCUGAUGCAGCCAUGCCGCGUGUGUGAAGAAGGCCUUCGGGUUGUAAAGCACUUUCAGUCGUGAGGAAGGUAGUGUAGUUAAUAGCUGCAUUAUUUGACGUUAGCGACAGAAGAAGCACCGGCUAACUCCGUGCCAGCAGCCGCGGUAAUACGGAGGGUGCGAGCGUUAAUCGGAAUUACUGGGCGUAAAGCGCAUGCAGGUGGUUUGUUAAGUCAGAUGUGAAAGCCCGGGGCUCAACCUCGGAAUUGCAUUUGAAACUGGCAGACUAGAGUACUGUAGAGGGGGGUAGAAUUUCAGGUGUAGCGGUGAAAUGCGUAGAGAUCUGAAGGAAUACCGGUGGCGAAGGCGGCCCCCUGGACAGAUACUGACACUCAGAUGCGAAAGCGUGGGGAGCAAACAGGAUUAGAUACCCUGGUAGUCCACGCCGUAAACGAUGUCUACUUGGAGGUUGUGGCCUUGAGCCGUGGCUUUCGGAGCUAACGCGUUAAGUAGACCGCCUGGGGAGUACGGUCGCAAGAUUAAAACUCAAAUGAAUUGACGGGGGCCCGCACAAGCGGUGGAGCAUGUGGUUUAAUUCGAUGCAACGCGAAGAACCUUACCUACUCUUGACAUCCAGAGAACUUUCCAGAGAUGGAUUGGUGCCUUCGGGAACUCUGAGAC